GGGGAGAUAAGUAAUAACAACAACCGUUGCAAACAAUAUACAGCAUUAAACCAAAUGGUUCCUACUAUGAUAUCUACAAUGUUAAUUAUCACAAUAAACAGAAAUGAUAUGAUUAGUUAUUGCCUACAAUAAAAACAGCAAUUUGCAAAAGGGUUUACAAUUUCAGAUGGUGAACAGGGAGAGAACAUAAGUGAUAUAGGAUAUGAUGAUUAAGAGAGAGGAGGACAGAAGACAGAAG
rnacentral:lncRNA from 1 species